rnacentral:rRNA from 1 species
GACGAACGCUGGCGGCGUGCUUAACACAUGCAAGUCGAACGGAAAGGCCCUGCUUUUGUGGGGUGCUCGAGUGGCGAACGGGUGAGUAACACGUGAGUAACCUGCCCUUGACUUGGGGAUAACUUCAGGAAACUGGGGCUAAUACCGGAUAGGAGCUCCUGCUGCAUGGUGGGGGGUGGAAAGUUUCGGCGGUUGGGGAUGGACUCGCGGCUUAUCAGCUUGUUGGUGGGGUAGUGGCUUACCAAGGCUUUGACGGGUAGCCGGCCUGAGAGGGUGACCGGCCACAUUGGGACUGAGAUACGGCCCAGACUCCUACGGGAGGCAGCAGUGGGGAAUAUUGCACAAUGGGCGGAAGCCUGAUGCAGCAACGCCGCGUGCGGGAUGACGGCCUUCGGGUUGUAAACCGCUUUCGCCUGUGACGAAGCGUGAGUGACGGUAAUGGGUAAAGAAGCACCGGCUAACUACGUG